rnacentral:rRNA from 1 species
AAAUGAAUAGACGGGGACCCGCACAAGCAGCGGAGCAUGUGGUUUAAUUCGAAGCAACGCGAAGAACCUUACCAGGUCUUGACAUCCGAUGCAAAUCCUAGAGAUAGGACGUUUCCUUCGGGAACAUCGAGACAGGUGGUGCAUGGUUGUCGUCAGCUCGUGUCGUGAGAUGUUGGGUUAAGUCCCGCAACGAGCGCAACCCCUAUAAUUAGUUGCCAUCAUUUAGUUGGGCACUCUAAUUAGACUGCCGUAGACAAUACGGAGGAAGGUGGGGACGACGUCAAAUCAUCAUGCCCCUUAUGACCUGGGCUACACACGUGCUACAAUGGUCUGGAACAGAGGGUGGCCAAGCCGCAAGGUGGAGCUAAUCCCAGAAAACAGAUCUCAGUUCGGAUUGCAGGCUGAAACUCGCCUGCAUGAAGAUGGAGUUGCUAGUAAUCGCGAAUCAGAAUGUCGCGGUGAAUGCGUUCCCGGGUCUUGUACACACCGCCCGU